UUUAAAAUUUUUAUUUUUUUUGUUUGUUUUUGAAAAUUUUAAAAGAAGUAACUUUUUAUUUUAUAGUUUUAGUAUAUAUUUAGAAUUGAUUUUUUUUAUUAUAGUUUAUUAGUAAUGUAAUUGAAUUAUUUAUUUUUUUAAAAAAUAAAAGUACUUUUAAUUUGGGGUACCUUUUGUAUCAGGGUUGAUCAAAUUAAUUUGAUUAUUUUAUUUUCUCGAUUUAGGUUGAUUUAUAUUUAUAUUUAUUUUGUUGUUUUAUAAACAUUUAAAAUUUAAAUAUAGAAAUGAAAUGUUAUACGUUUCCUAAGAUAUCUAGUUCCUUGAGAAGAAAUUUAAUUUUUUAUGAUUUUUGAUUAUUUACUUGUUUCAUGUUUUAAAUUAAAUAUCAAUUUAUACUUUAGGGGAUAAGCUCUUGAGUUAUUUUAUCUAUAAUUUUAUUUAUUUAUAAAAUAGUAAGCUUUAAACCAGCUAUCUUUUAUGAUUACGUUUUAGUUCAUUAUUGAAUUUUUUAGAUUUUAUAAUUUUUUUAGAUUAUUUAUUAAGGUGAUUAAAUUAAUAAUUAAUUUAUUGUAAUAAUGAUUGAAUUAGUAUAUUUAUUUGUUUAAUAAAGUUAUGUUGAUAAUUUAUAUUAAGGAAUUAGGCAAAAUUGUUUUCCGCCUGUUUAACAAAAACAUGUCUUUUUGAUAAAAAUUUAAAGUCUGGCCUGCUCACUGAAAAUUUAAAGAGCCGCGGUAUUUUGACCGUGCAAAGGUAGCAUAAUCAUUAGUCUUUUAAUUGGAGGCUGGAAUGAAUGGUUUGACGAGGGGACUACUGUCUCAAUCUUAAUUAGUAAAAUUUAACUUUUAAGUUAAAAGGCUUAAAUUUUUCUUUAGGACGAGAAGACCCUAUAGAUCUUUAUAAUUUAUUUAAAAUUAAUUUUCUGUUGAUUUAUUUUAAUUAUUAAUAAAUUUAUUUUGUUGGGGUGACAUAAAGAAUAAUUAAACUCUUUAUUAUAAUUUCAUUGAUUUAUGAUUGAUUGAUCCAUAUUUUGUGAUUAUAAGAUAAAGUUACCUUAGGGAUAACAGCGUAAUUAAUUUUUAGAGUUCAUAUCAACAAAUUAGAUUGCGACCUCGAUGUUGGAUUAAGAUAAGUAUUAGGUGUAUCCGUUUAAUAACUAGGUCUGUUCGACCUUUAAAUUCUUACAUGAUCUGAGUUCAGACCGGUGUAAACCAGGUCGGUUUCUAUCCUAAGUUAGAUUAUUUAUAUUAGUACGAAAGGACCAUAUAAUUGAAAUAUUUUUUUAUUUAUGAUAAAUAUUAAUUU
rnacentral:rRNA from 1 species